rnacentral:rRNA from 1 species
GAUGAACGCUGGCGGCGUGCCUAAUACAUGCAAGUCGAGCGAACAGACGAGGAGCUUGCUCCUUUGACGUUAGCGGCGGACGGGUGAGUAACACGUGGGUAACCUACCUAUAAGACUGGGAUAACUUCGGGAAACCGGAGCUAAUACCGGAUAAUAUUUCGAACCGCAUGGUUCGAUAGUGAAAGAUGGCUCUGCUAUCACUUAUAGAUGGACCUGCGCCGUAUUAGCUAGUUGGUAAGGUAACGGCUUACCAAGGCAACGAUACGUAGCCGACCUGAGAGGGUGGUCGGCCACACUGGAACUGAGACACGGUCCAGACUCCUACGGGAGGCAGCAGUAGGGAAUCUUCCGCAAUGGGCGAAAGCCUGACGGAGCAACGCCGCGUGAGUGAUGAAGGUCUUCGGAUCGUAAAACUCUGUUAUUAGGGAAGAACAAACGUGUAAGUAACUGUGCACGUCGUGACGGUACCUAAUCAGAAAGCCACGGCUAACUACGUG